rnacentral:rRNA from 1 species
UAUGUGAUCGUCUCUCGCAUAUCAAUAAGCGGAGGAAAAGAAACUAACAAGGAUUCCCCUAGUAACGGCGAGUGAAGCGGGAAGAGCUCAAAUUUGAAAUCUUAAAGGGUUUCCCUUUACGAAUUGUAGUUUAAAGAAGCGUUUUCUGUUGAGGUUUUGGUAAAAGUUCUUUGGAAUAGGACAUCAUAGAGGGUGAGAAUCCCGUAUUUGACCUUUACUUUCAACUUUGUGAUACACUUUCAAAGAGUCGGAUUGUUUGGGAAUGCAGUCCAAAAUGGGUGGUAAAUUUCAUCUAAAGCUAAAUAUUGGCGAGAGACCGAUAGCGAACAAGUACCGUGAGGGAAAGAUGAAAAGAACUUUGAAAAGAGAGUUAAACAGUACGUGAAAUUGUCAAAAGGGAAGCGUUUGACACCAGUGUUGUUUUUCUGAAAAUCAAUUAAAGAACUGUUUAUGCUAAGUUGUUUAGACUUUAUCAGCUAACUGUUUAGUUUUGAGCUUUUCUUUAAUGCACUUUUCAGUUAACAAGUCAACAUCAAUUUCUUUUGCUGUAAAAAAGCUUGAGGAAGGUGGCUUGAGAUUCGUCUUAAGUGUUUAUAGCCUCUUGCCUAUGCAGUCGGAGAGAUUGAGGUCUGCAGCGUAGAUCCUUCGGGGCUAAAUGCAUUUGUGCUAAGUUAUAGCAUUUUAUAGACAACUUGUUGACUAUGAUUUGUCUUGUAGCUUACUCGCUUAUGUCAUUUUACCUACGCUUAGGAUGUUGACACACGCGCGUGCUCG